CAGUCACAGCUCACUGCAGCCUCGACCUCCUGGACUCAAACCAUCCUCCCACUUCAGCCUUCCAAGUUACUGGGACUACAGUGCCCAACACAGUGUGGGUGCCCAAAGGAUAAGAGGCAAGGAAUCUGUCUUUGAGAAGUCUGCAGUCUAGCCAUGGAGACGAGACGUACCCAGGAUGAAAUACAGGAACCCUCCUACCUCCUUGAUUCUUCUGUAGCCCCAAACAUCCCCACGCAAAUAAGCCCAUAAAAGGAGCCCUGAGUCCUUCAACUCAAACAUGUCAUCACUGUACCCCGG